UUAGGAAUUUUGGGCAAUGGGCGCAAGCCUGACGACGCAAUGCCGCGUGGAGGAUGAAGGUCUUCGGAUUGUAAACUCCUGUUGCCAGGGACGAAUGGCUCCGACCUAAUACGUCGGAGAAUGACGGUACCCGGCGAGGAAGCCCCGGCUAACUCUGUGCCAGCAGCCGCGGUAAUACAGAGGGGGCAAGCGUUGUUCGGAAUUACUGGGCGUAAAGGGCGCGUAGGCGGCCUUCUAAGUCGAACGUGAAAUCCCCGGGCUCAACCCGGGAACUGCGUCCGAUACUGGAAGGCUUGAAUCCGGGAGAGGGAUGCGGAAUUCCAGGUGUAGCGGUGAAAUGCGUAGAUAUCUGGAGGAACACCGGUGGCGAAGGCGGCAUCCUGGACCGGCAUUGACGCUGAGGCGCGAAAGCCAGGGGAGCAAAC
rnacentral:rRNA from 1 species